rnacentral:lncRNA from 1 species
GAAACCAGAUGAACCAGGGGGAGAGAGACUUAGAAGAACAACUAAUAGGCUCAAUAGUUGCUGGUAUUAAACCUUCAAUUUGCUUACAACCUGGAUGUAGAGAUAAAUAGUCACAAAUAUUAGCACACAGGUAAGAUGUGAGAGGACCCAAUACAAGUUUUCAUGGACUCGACACAGGAAAGACGAGAGCUGGCUUUGGGAUGGACCACGGGGAGCUUGAGCCAUUUCAGUUGAAGAACUCAGAAGAAGAAGAAGCAAGCUAAUGAUCAUGGCAGCAGGAGCCCUUCAGCACCCACAUCGUGCCAGGCAAUGAGUGUCUAUAAAUCCACUACCACUCAGUUAGUCAUCAGCCGUUCCUUCCCACUUGGUCUAUGGGGAACUGAAGCUCGGGGGUUGCAUAACUCGCCUAACAACUCUCUGACUCAAAUCUUAGACUUGGCCAACAGAGAGUGAAUGGGUGGCCUGUUUGGGAGAGCUGUGGAAAGCUCCCCACAGGAAGAACAAGGAAAGGCAGUGUAGACAGGUCUGGAAAGUUACAAAUCCGGGAUCUAAGACAGGCUGUGUGCUAUGAGGGACAGGAGGCAAGAGAAUAGGAACUCCAAAUGUGUUGGGGACUCUAUCAUUGAGUGGGUGCUUCACUCAGUACAUAGGGGACUUAAUCCUGGAGAUUCCACCCAUGGAGCACUGCAUCCCAGAGGACCCCAUCCUUCAGGACUGCAUCCUUGGAGUCUGCAUCAUUAGUGCAUCCUAGAAUUUCCAUCCUUGAGGACUCUAUUUUGGGAGAUCCCAUUCUUGAGGUCUCCAUCUUUGAAGACUCCAUCCUUGAGAACUGGAAGAUUCCAUUUUUCAGGGCUCCAUCCUUGAAGACUUCCUCUUUGAGAACUCCAUCCUUACAGGUAUUCUAUCUGAGGACUCCAUCUUGGAUGACUGCAGCCUUGGAGACGCCAUCCUUCAGGAGUCUACCCAGGGUCAUCCUAUUAUUAUAGACUCUGUCCCAUGGGGACUGAUCCUUGAUGAACUCCACUCUCGAGACCCAGAAGAAAAUCUGAAAGUGUCUGUACUGAGAAAAGGCACCAUCUGAGCUGAGCAAGAGAAACACCAGGUGAUGUUUUGGUAGCCAGUUUGUCUUUCAAUUUGGUGUUGGCUAAAGAUAAAUGGAUUUGCGUAUUCUUAUGUGGUGGUUGGAAGUAUAUGGCGGUAUGAAAAUUGAGUGAGUCUAGGAUUAAAAACUAGGCUUCAAGAAACCCUCAGGGGUAAUCAGUUGUCCCCCAAGAGGACUACCUAUCAAAAUAGCCUCAAGAACAUGUUGUGUCACUAAAGACUCCUCUGGUCCCAGUUGCUGUGUUCCAGGGAUGAUCAUCUCAACCAGGAGCUUUUGGAGCGAGCCUUCGGCCCACUCCCAUAAUUAACGGGGGCUGAUUUGGAAGCAGGUCACUCCAGAAAGCCACCUCCCCAGCCACUCGAGUCACACAAGGAAAAUAAGGAACCUGUAGCACUCUGGAUUCUGGCCAUCUUCAUGUCAUUUCUGCUUCCUUUGCGCCCCCACACUGUAUUAAGGAUGGAAUCAGGACCUUGUGCAUGUGAGAUCAGUAUCUGUCACUGAACCACACACCCCCAUCCUGAUGUCAUUUCUUACAUCAAAUCCCUGAACUACUCCCUACUGACAGAACUCUGGGGAGGCUGAGCAUUGUUGAAAGCCACCUCACCCUCUAUCACCGGUGUGAAUAGAGCAGGAUUCUUCAAAUCCUGGGAUGUCAUCUGGGCUGUCUACACCGUUGGGUGAAUAUGUAGAGUGCCUUCCUAGAGGCACCUCUGAUGUGUGAGGUCAGAUGGUUUCUGUUGUGGGGCAGUAUUACAGACUAGAGUGAUUACUCACUCCUGGCCUCUGCCUACUAAACGCCAGUAGCACUCCUUGAGUUAAGACAAUCCAAGAGUUCCAGACAUUGGCACAGUGUGAAGGGGUGAUGACGAGAUACUGCUGGAGCAACAGGAAUGGAGAUGUUUCUCUUGAAAGUCUCAGAAAACACAGAUAAAGGGCUUGGCAUUGACGAGGCCCUGGGCGAGGGCAGCAGCUCCCGAGCAGGGCCUUAGGGCUAAGCAGAGAAUUCCCCAAAUGUGCUUCCGGCAUCUCUUGCCCAUGGGUUCUGGAGUGAAAGAAAUUCCUCAGAAGCCCUUUGGAGAAAGAGGGCUCUUCAUCGAGAUCCUUAAGCAGACGUCCUCUGUGGCCCAACCUCCCUGCCUUUGGGUCCACAUGAUCUGCCCAUACUCUGAGCCAUCCUAUAGAACAAUCCAGGAGAAAAGAAUUUCCAUCUAUUAUCAACUUGCACCCAUGACUCUACAUGUCCCAGAAAGAGAUGAACACGGGCCACUCUACUCUGUGUCCUGACGUCAUGUGUCACUGCAUCCGUGAGGGUGGCUCACCUUUCCUUCCUCCGGGAAAUCUUCCCAGUUCCCAUAGUUGCUUCUGGGGUACACUGGGCAGGUGUGUGGCCUUAUUCUAAUCAUUUUUUAAUUUGUUCAUUUAUUUAUGUCUUCAUUUAUGUUUGCAUGUCUGUGGUAUGAUUGCACAUGUAUGUGGGCAUGAGUGUACACGGUUCACGUGUGAACUCAUGUGGAGUCUUGAAGGUAUCACUGGAUGAGACUAGAUGCUUCCUUAGCCACUCCCCUCUGUUGAAUAAAGUUUCUCACU